rnacentral:rRNA from 1 species
GAUGACGCUGGCGUCGUGCCUAAUACAUGCAAGUCGAGCGAGCGGCGGACGGGUGAGUAAUGUCUGGGACACUGCCUGAUGGAGGGGGAGAACUACUGGAAACGGUAGCUAAUACCGCAUACCAUCUGAUGUUCCCAGAUGGGAUUAGCUAGUAGGUGUGGUAACGGCUCACCUAGGCGACGCUCCAUAGCUGGUCUGAGAGGAUUACCAGGCACACUGGAACUGAGACACGGUCCAGACUCCUAAGGGAGGCAGCAUUGGGGAAUAUUGCACAAUGGGCGCAAGCCUGAUGCAGCCAUGCCGCGUGUAUGAAGAAGGCCUUCGGGUUGUAAAGUACUUUCAGCGGGGAGGCGUUACCCGCAGAAGAAGCAACGUCUAACUCCGUGCCAGCGGCCGCGGUAAUAC